rnacentral:rRNA from 1 species
AAAGUUUUGGUCUUAGACUUACUGUUAUUUAUGGACAAGCCUACACAUGCAAGCAUCCACACCCCGGUGAAACAACCCUUCAACUAGCACAGACAAGACUAGAGGUGGCAUCAGGGACUCCCCAAAGACGCCAAGCAAAUCAGCCACACCCACAAGGGCAUGCAGCAGUGACUAACAUUUAAAAAUGGGACCAGCCCGAACAAACUAUGGCCACCAG